CCUACGGGUGGCAGCAGUGAGGAAUAUUGGUCAAUGGACGCAAGUCUGAACCAGCCAUGCCGCGUGCAGGAUGACGACUCUAUGAGUUGUAAACUGCUUUUGUACGAGGGUAAACCCCGAUACGUGUAUCGGGUUGCAAGUACCGUACGAAUAAGGAUCGGCUAACUCCGUGCCAGCAGCCGCGGUAAUACGGAGGAUCCGAGCGUUAUCCGGAUUUAUUGGGUUUAAAGGGUGCGUAGGCGGUUUGAUAAGUUAGCGGUGAAAUGUCGGGGCUCAACCCCGAAACUGCCUCUAAUACUGUUGGACUAGAGAAUAGUUGCGGUAGGCGGAAUGUAUGGUGUAGCGGUGAAAUGCUUAGAGAUCAUACAGAACACCGAUUGCGAAGGCAGCUUACCAAACUAUAUCUGACGUUGAGGCACGAAAGCGUGGGUAGCGAACAGGAUUAGAUACCCUAGUAGUC
rnacentral:rRNA from 1 species